AAGUCGUAACAAGGUUUCCGUAGGUGAACCUGCGGAAGGAUCAUUAACACGUAUCCACGUAUCAACCAACCGGUAACUUGUUUUUCUCCCUAAUAAUAGUAUGGCUGUUCCAUCGUGAUCAUGGUGGGUAUGCACUUGCACUUCGGUGUGGGUACGUACGAUUGCGAUGGAACUGGGGCCUUGAGCUCUAGGCCGUACAGAUAUGUUAUUAGGCUUUUUUCCCACCAUACCUCUCUACUAUGAGGUAUGGGCGGGAUCCUAACCAAAACCUAUUUCACCCUUCUUACUACCAUUUGACUAAUACACUUCACUUGGAGAAAUCCAGGCUGAAUUGAGUUAUCUAAACUAAGCACAACUCUUAGCAAUGGAUAUCUUGGUUCUC
rnacentral:misc_RNA from 1 species